rnacentral:rRNA from 1 species
AUACGUAGGUGGCAAGCGUUGUCCGGAUUUACUGGGUGUAAAGGGCGUGUAGGCGGAGCGGCAAGUCAGGAGUGAAAUCCAUGGGCUCAACCCAUGAACUGCUUUUGAAACUGUCGCCCUUGAGUAUCGGAGAGGCAGGCGGAAUUCCUAGUGUAGCGGUGAAAUGCGUAGAUAUUAGGAGGAACACCAGUGGCGAAGGCGGCCUGCUGGACGACAACUGACGCUGAGGCGCGAAAGCGUGGGGAGCAAACAAGAUUAGAUACCCUGGUAGUCCACGCUGUAAACGAUGAAUACUAGGUGUGGGGGGACUGACCCCCUCCGUGCCGCAGUUAACACAAUAAGUAUUCCACCUGGGGAGUACGAUCGCAAGAUUGAAACUCAAAUGAAUUGACGGGG